rnacentral:rRNA from 1 species
AUUGAACGCUGGCGGCAUGCCUUACACAUGCAAGUCGAACGGCAGCGGACCUUCGGUGCCGGCGAGUGGCGAACGGGUGAGUAAUAUAUCGGAACGUACCUUUCAGUGGGGGAGUAACGUAGCGAAAGUUACGCUAAUACCGCAUAUUCUGUGAGCAGGAAAGCAGGGGAUCGCAAGACCUUGCGCUGAUUGAGCGGCCGAUAUCAGAUUAGCUAGUUGGUGAGGUAAAGGCUCACCAAGGCGACGAUCUGUAGCGGGUCUGAGAGGAUGAUCCGCCACACUGGAACUGAGACACGGUCCAGACUCCUACGGGAGGCAGCAGU